CACAGGCAGGACCUAUCUCUGUUUUUGUUUGUAUCACAUGAUAUUCACCUGGCCUCUGCCCCAUUUGGAUUCCAGUGUGGGUGGGAGUGGGAGAUUCCUUCAAAUACGUGAUCCCUUGGGCUCUCCUCACUCCCACUGCCGUGGUGUAUUGUGGUGCUACUCCUGCCUCUGUUUCUUCACUGCUUUUUCAGGGAUGGCCCUCCCCACUGGCUCCCACCCUCCUCCUCCUCAGAGAGGUUGGCUACUCGUUUGUUGGCAAAGCAGUCCCACCUGGGCACCCCAGGCCCCUCUCUACCCACCCAACAUCAAGGCUCUGGACACUCAGUGGCUCAUCAAGAAGAUUCUAAUGAAGGGCUGAAGAGAUUGCUUAGUAAAGUACUUGCCUAAAUGUGGAAGAUGACUGAACUUCUGUCUCCUAAAUUCUGGGACUACAGGGUUCCCUGAGCCCCAAGGGGAGGAAUUUGAUGGAGACAUCCCAUUUGGGACUGAGUAUUCCAACAUCUCUCAUUUUAUGCAUAAUGUCUGGCUGUGGGUCCCUGUAUUUGUUCCCAUCUGCGGCAGGAGGAAGCUUCUCUGAUGAUGGCUGAGCAAGGCAUUGAUCUAUUCUGCUGGGGUUUAUAAGCUAUAAGGGGAAAAAUAAAGAAGAGAGAAGGAAGUCAUCAGGAAGUAGAGGAGAAGGAAGACAUCAGGAAGUAGUGAAGAGGAAGGCAUCAGGAAACAGUGAGGAGGAAGUCAUCAGGAAGUAGUGAGAAGG